GCCAGGCAUGGUGGUGCAUGCCUGUAAUCCCAGCUGCUCAGGAGGCUGAGGCAGGAGAAUCACUUGAACCCGGGAGGUGGAGACUGCAGUGAGCUGAGAUUGCACCACUGUACUCCAGCCUGGGCAACAGAGUGAGACUCUGUCUCAA
rnacentral:SRP_RNA from 1 species